rnacentral:rRNA from 1 species
UAAACGAUGGAUACUCGCUGUUGGCGAUAUACGGUCAGCGGCUUAGCGAAAGCGUUAAGUAUCCCACCUGGGGAGUACGCCGGCAACGGUGAAACUCAAAGGAAUUGACGGGGGCCCGCACAAGCGGAGGAACAUGUGGUUUAAUUCGAUGAUACGCGAGGAACCUUACCCGGGCUUAAAUUGCAAAGGAAUAAUCUGGAAACAGAUUAGUCUUCGGACCUUUGUGAAGGUGCUGCAUGGCUGUCGUCAG